AUUUUUGAACAUGUGUUUAUUAGCAGUCUGCAGUCUAGUCAGUUUAGAUUGGAAUCUUUAAGUCUUGAACAGUAUUAAUCUGAUUUAAUCGAGGAAAACAGAAUGAAGAGACUAGAUGUUCUUCAAAUCUUGGCAGAAAGGAAUGAAAGAAGAAAACGCGAACUGGAGCUCAAUGGUUUACCGUCAGAAAGCAAAUAAUUCUUUGCCCAUAACCCCAAAUUUUUCAAGGCAGACUCCAUCAUCGUUGAAUCAUCAUCCCAGAGUGCUUCGUCAAAAAGUAGUAGACAGGAAGAAUUAAAUCGUGCUACAGUUCUGGAUAAUUUUGAUGAUACACAAGUUUAUCUUUUUUAUUCAAAAGGCGAAGUAAACUAUUCUUGGCUUGAUAAAGAUCUAGGUAUUAAAGAUGUUCCAAAGAUGUCUUCUUCAGAUUUGGUGAACUAUUUGCGGUCAGAAAUAAAGGGCAAUAAAUUACAACGAUCAUUGUUAACCUGCAAAUUAUCAUGUAGGAGAUAUUUGUUCUUUCUAAUGUCAGUGACAACAAGCAAAGAUGUGGCAGAACUCAGAAGUGUGUCUCAAGAUUCUUUCAGAAAAAAUAUUUGAUAAAACUCAACAAUUCUGUAUUGAAGUGCCUGACUUACUUCUAGUCCUGAUGAAUUUUGGUACUGUUCAAAGCAACUUUUGGCCUGUGGCUUUGGACAUUUCUUUUCCUCGCCCAUUCCGGAAAUUUUCCAUGAACAGUUUCGAUUCGGAAAAACAUCAUGUCCCUUUCCCUCGCUUGAAUUUGGAGAAAAUAUUGUCUCUCUUGAGUUUCAAUGUGAAAACAUAUCCCUAUUUUUCCGAGAACGAGAAAAUUGGAAUGUGCAACCUCUUGCUAAACCUUUACAUGGCCAAUUUUAUAGCUGGAGACACUUUUCUAACUCUCAAAAUCAGAGACAUUAUAUCACAUAUACUUGAAAGUUUUACAGUAGAGGAAUGGAGGGAACUUAAUUUCAAAAUGUAUUGAAGAACUUAUUUUGCAGUGUUGGAUUGAGAACCUGUAACCUACAGCGAUGGUUCAACGAAUUACGUACAGUAUAUACCAACAACUACAAGCCGUGGAGCAACUACAAGCUGUCGGUUCAUCAGC
rnacentral:lncRNA from 1 species